GAGGUCCCGCCUGCCCUGUGACUAUGGGUUUAACGGCCGCGGUAUUUUGACCGUGCUAAGGUAGCGCAAUCACUUGUCUUUUAAAUGAAGACCCGUAUGAAUGGCACCACGAGGGCUUAACUGUCUCCUUUUUCCCGUCAAUGAAAUUGAUCUCCCCGUGCAGAAGCGGGGAUACCCCCAUAAGACGAGAAGACCCUAUGGAGCUUUAGGCUCCAGAACAGAUUAUGCUAAACGCCCUUAAACAAAAAGACGAAACUUAUUAACCCCUGUUCUACAUGCCUUUGGUUGGGGCGACCACGGGGAAGCACAAAACCCCCACGUGGACCAGGAGCACAAUUCUCCUAAAACCUAGGACCACCUUCCUAAGUAACAGAACUUCUGACCAAUAUAAGAUCCGGCAUAAAGCCGAUCAACGAACCUAGUUACCCUAGGGAUAACAGCGCAAUCCCCUUCUAGAGUCCAUAUCGACAAGGGGGUUUACGACCUCGAUGUUGGAUCAGGACAUCCUAUUGGUGUAGCCGCUAUUAAGGGUUCGUUUGUUCAACGAUU
rnacentral:rRNA from 1 species